GUCCCCAAGUAAGGUGGAGGGCGAUGACCCACCUUCUUGGAUGCCUAGGAUUUAAGUAGAUGUUCAUAUAAUAAUUCAACAAGUCAUGUAAUUAGAGCAAUUGUUAAUCUCUCUCAAGCAUUAACACUCUCAGGAAUCCAUUGAUGCUCUCGCACUCAAUUUCAAUCCCGCUAAUCUUAUGUGUGCCUCUAGUAAGUACAUCUCUCGAUCUUGUACUCCUAUUUGCAUACAAUCAAUCUAUGAUAUUGGCCAAUUACACAGAUCAAACAUCAAGACAUAUAGACUAGAAUUACACAUUACCCAUUAAACCAUUAAUGAAAAUAAAGCAUUAUAAUGGUGCAAACAUGGCUCCCCUUCCGUCCUAGAAUGGAACUACUCACACAUACUAGCGACUAAAGCAACAAAAGUAAUAAAGAGAGCCGUAUAAAACAUUGAAAAUAAACAAGAGAUGAUCAAGAAAUACCUCAAAGCUUCUAUUAAUGGAGAAAAUAAUGUCUAGAACAAAGUAUGAAGAGUUGGAGAAGAAAACCUAACCCUUUGUAAUUAUAGCGUAUGUAACUAAUGUCUAUUCUAUAGUAAUCUUCUCAUCAUAAAAUCUGAUCCUCUUUCUAUAUUAAAAGUCUUUCUAAUAUUUUAAAUCAAUAUACAAAAUAGAACUCCAAAAUCAACAAGGAUUCUCUCUCAAAAUUCGGCACUGAAUUUGCUGCUCUGUUUUCGGGCUUUUUCAGUUGGACUUUGCUUACUGGACCACUUCUGAAUUAAAGGAAAUUCCCAGAGCUUCGCGUGGGCUGUAAGAUUGUCCAAAUCCGACAUCUAGAACUCAAGUUAUGGCCAAAACAGUGCAGAAAUCGGGUGGAACCCAAUAAAUCCGAAUUUUAGUAGAAUUUAGCUCUAAAAUAGCUAAUUUAUCUCCAAAUCCUUCUCAACUUUAAAUUCUUUAUUUCCUACAAUAAAACAUGAAAAUAUAUUAAAUAAAUAUCCAAAUCAGUGCAAAAUAUAAUUAAAUAUGAGAAUAAAAUCAUAUAGAAUAUAUAUAAAAAUAUAUUCUAUCAAACAUCCCCACACUAAGCUUUUGCACGUCCUCGGGCAAAUAAGCGAAAUAAAACUAAGCCCUAACUAACUAACACCACUUUCGUAGAUGACACGAUUGCAUUGAGCGCAUGCAACAAGCCGUUAAACCCCUAGGUAGCCCUAGUAGGACGAGUUUUGUCUCGUGAGGGUUUAUAGUGAAUCUGCCCACAAAAUUCAUUAUUUUCUACCAAGUCUCAAACAUGCAACUAAUAUGGAUGCAAACUAAAUGAAUAUGUCUAAAAACAAAUACGUGAAAGCAUCAACCUCGUCAAUAUAUAUCCUCAGAAUAUGCAACAAUCAAGGACAUUCAUCUAUCUCACACAUUAGUCAAGCAACUCUUCCACUGCAAGUACGGAGUGCAUCGUGUGUGCUCAACAGUUCGUCCCCAAAGUGUGGUGGAGGGCGACGACCCACCUACUUGGAUGCCUAGGAUCUAAGUGGAUGAUGUCCCUACUGUCCUAGAUGCCUGGGAUUUAAGUAGAUGAUUUCCCUACUGUCCCGGAGGUUGUUCGUCCCCAAGUGCGGUGGAGAGCGACGACCCACCUACUUGGAUGCCUGGGAUCUAAGUGGAUGAUGUCCCUACUGUCCCAGAGGUUUAUGUUCCCCAAGUGUGGUGGAGGGCGACGACCCACCUACUUGGAUGCCUGGAAUCUAAGUGGAUGAUUUCUCUAUUGUUCCAGAGGUUGUUUUUCCCUAAGUGUGGUGGAGGGCAACGGCCCACCUACUUGGAUGCCUAGGAUCUAAGUGGAUGAUGUCCCUACUGUCCUAGAUGCCUGGGAUUUAAGUAGAUGAUUUCCCUACUGUCCCGGAGGUUGUUCGUCCCCA
rnacentral:lncRNA from 1 species